CAGGCCGAGCAUGGAGGCGAGUACCGGCACCGGGCGCUCCCGAGCGGGGCCGGAGCGGCGCUGGGGCUGCCGACACGGCUCCCCGCAGAAAGAUGUCCUGAAAUAAACAAGCCUGUUUUUUCCCCAUCAAUGGGACCCGUUUGGUGCUCAGAGCAGGUCACUGUGUGGAGGUGGCUCUAAUGUGAAGCUUGCAGGUCUGCUGCCAUGUGCUAAUUAUUACUGAAUCUACCAGUUGAUGCUAUAGCCCUUCACAAGUCCUGUGGAAGACAGGCAGCAAGAGCAGGAGAUGGUUUCUGGAUAUCACAUGAUGAAACUAACCAAAACUUGCUGGAAUUACCGGCAGAUUGUCUGGUGGUGUCUGAUGAAGAAGGAAUCCCAUAAAACAACUUGCAGGAACCUGGGGACUAGUGUUUGUAAACACUGUUGUGUUUUUCUGCACUAAGAUGUUAAAAAAUGGUAAACCAGUAACGGUUUUUGUUAUAAACUUAUUAAAAUUCUCUCAAAUAAC